GAUGAACGCUAGCGACAUGCUUAACACAUGCAAGUCGAACGAAAACUUGUUAUAGACGGGUCUCGGCCCAGACGUAACAAGUUUUAGUGGCGAACGGGUGAGUAACGCGUAAGAACCUACCUUGUGGUGAGGGAUACCAACUGGAAACGGUUGCUAAUACCUCAUAUGCUGAGAAGUGAAAGGUCUAAAAACCGCCAAAAGAGGGGCUUGCGUCUGAUUAGUUUGUUGGUGAGGUAAUGGCUUACCAAGACGAUGAUCAGUAGCUGGUCUGAGAGGACGAUCAGCCACACUGGGACUGAGACACGGCCCAGACUCCUACGGGAGGCAGCAGUGAGGAAUUUUCCGCAAUGGGCGAAAGCUUGACGGAGCAAUGUCGCGUGGAGGAAGAAGGCCCGUGGGUUGUAAACUUCUUUUGUCAAAGAAGAAAUAUUGACGGUAUUUGACGAAUAAGCAUCGGCUAACUCUGUGCCAGCAGCCGCGGUAACAC
rnacentral:rRNA from 1 species